rnacentral:rRNA from 1 species
AGAGUUUGAUCAUGGCUCAGGACGAACGCUGGCGGCGUGCCUAAUACAUGCAAGUCGAACGAACUCUGGUAUUGAUUGGUGCUUGCAUCAUGAUUUACAUUUGAGUGAGUGGCGAACUGGUGAGUAACACGUGGGAAACCUGCCCAGAAGCGGGGGAUAACACCUGGAAACAGAUGCUAAUACCGCAUAACAACUUGGACCGCAUGGUCCGAGUUUGAAAGAUGGCUUCGGCUAUCACUUUUGGAUGGUCCCGCGGCGUAUUAGCUAGAUGGUGAGGUAACGGCUCACCAUGGCAAUGAUACGUAGCCGACCUGAGAGGGUAAUCGGCCACAUUGGGACUGAGACACGGCCCAAACUCCUACGGGAGGCAGCAGUAGGGAAUCUUCCACAAUGGACGAAAGUCUGAUGGAGCAACGCCGCGUGAGUGAAGAAGGGUUUCGGCUCGUAAAACUCUGUUGUUAAAGAAGAACAUAUCUGAGAGUAACUGUUCAGGUAUUGACGGUAUUUAACCAGAAAGCCACGGCUAACUACGUGCCAGCAGCCGCGGUAAUACGUAGGUGGCAAGCGUUGUCCGGAUUUAUUGGGCGUAAAGCGAGCGCAGGCGGUUUUUUAAGUCUGAUGUGAAAGCCUUCGGCUCAACCGAAGAAGUGCAUCGGAAACUGGGAAACUUGAGUGCAGAAGAGGACAGUGGAACUCCAUGUGUAGCGGUGAAAUGCGUAGAUAUAUGGAAGAACACCAGUGGCGAAGGCGGCUGUCUGGUCUGUAACUGACGCUGAGGCUCGAAAGUAUGGGUAGCAAACAGGAUUAGAUACCCUGGUAGUCCAUACCGUAAACGAUGAAUGCUAAGUGUUGGAGGGUUUCCGCCCUUCAGUGCUGCAGCUAACGCAUUAAGCACUCCGCCUGGGGAGUACGACCGCAAGGUUGAAACUCAAAGGAAUUGACGGGGGCCCGCACAAGCGGUGGAGCAUGUGGUUUAAUUCGAAGCUACGCGAAGAACCUUACCAGGUCUUGACAUCUUGCGCCAACCCUAGAGAUAGGGCGUUUCCUUCGGGAACGCAAUGACAGGUGGUGCAUGGUCGUCGUCAGCUCGUGUCGUGAGAUGUUGGGUUAAGUCCCGCAACGAGCGCAACCCUUGUUACUAGUUGCCAGCAUUAAGUUGGGUACUCUAGUGAGACUGCCGGUGACAAACCGGAGGAAGGUGGGGAUGACGUCAAAUCAUCAUGCCCCUUAUGACCUGGGCUACACACGUGCUACAAUGGCGUAUACAACGAGUUGCCAACCCGCGAGGGUGAGCUAAUCUCUUAAAGUACGUCUCAGUUCGGAUUGUAGGCUGCAACUCGCCUACAUGAAGUCGGAAUCGCUAGUAAUCGCGGAUCAGCACGCCGCGGUGAAUACGUUCCCGGGUCUUGUACACACCGCCCGUCACACCAUGAGAGUUUGUAACACCCAAAGCCGGUGGGGUAACCUUCGGGAGCCAGCCGUCUAAGGUGGGACAGAUGAUUAGGGUGAAGUCGUAACAAGGUAACC